rnacentral:other from 1 species
ACGGUUAUAAAUCAACAUAUUGAUUUAUAAGCAUGGAAAUCCCCUGAGUGAAACAACUAAUUGCUGUGUGUAGUCUUUGCCCAUCUCCCACGAUGGGCUUUUUUUUAA